GACGAACGCUGGCGGCGUGCCUAACACAUGCAAGUCGAGCGGAGAUGAUGUGAGGAAGUUUUCGGAUGGAAUCACAUUAUUUUAGCGGCGGACGGGUGAGUAACGCGUGAGCGACCAACCUUGCACAGGGGGAUAACGGACCGAAAGGUUCACUAAUACCGCAUGAGACCACGGUGUUGCAUGACACAGAGGUCAAAGGAGCAAUCCGGUGCAAGACGGGCUCGCGUCCGAUUAGGUAGUUGGUGGGGGAACGGCCCACCAAGCCUAUGAUCGUGAGCCGGCCUGGGAGGGUGAUCGGCCACAUUGGAACAGAGAGACGGUCCAAACUCCUACGGGAGGCAGCAGUGGGGAAUAUUGGGCAAUGGGGGAAACCCUGACCCAGCAACGCCGCGUGAAGGAAGAAGGUUUUCGGAUUGUAAACUUCUGUCCUUGGUGAAGAGAAGAAGACGGUAGCCAAGGAGGAAGCCCCGGCUAACUCCGUGCCAGCAGCCGCCGUAA
rnacentral:rRNA from 1 species